ensembl:lncRNA
UAAAGCCCAGGAACUGUUGCAGCUCACAGUGAAACUCACUUUUCACCAGGAAGUGCUGCAGGAGUGCUGGAUGUGCUGUAUGGUCGCAGAAAUUAAAAUGGUGUCAAGGGAGACAAACACAAACUUAUUAAGCAUGUGUCUCGGGACACCAUUAAAUCAGGCAUUGGAACACAGCUGGAUUGUCAGUAAGGCCAAAAGGCAUGACCAGGUAUUCGCAAUGGCCAGAGGGCGUGUUGAAGACCGUCUUCCACUCGUCCCCUCUGUUGUGCGGACUAGAUGGUAGGUAUUGCGGAUAUUCGAGGUUGGCAAAGAACUUUAGUUGUAGCUCAAAGGUGUCUGAGGACAUCCGAGGAAGAGGGUAUCAAUUAUUUACCGUGAUGUUGCUAAGACCCCUAUAGUCAAUACAGGGGCAGAGGGAACCAUCCUUCUUAGUCACAAAGAAAAACCCGGAGAAGAGAAGGGGUGAGUGAUACCUGCAGCCAGGGACUCCUGAAUGUAUUCAUUCCUUGCCUCAGUUUCAGGAGGAGACAGGGAGAAGAGACAACUUCAUGGGGGUGAUGUGCCAGGCAUAUGAUCUAUGGCACAGUCAUAGGUGUGAUAUGGAGGCAGGGAGGUAGCCCAGGACUCGCUGAACACUGCCUUGUGAUCCGAGUAGUCAGUGAGCAAGACAGUAAGGUAGUGAGUAAGACAGUAAGGUAGUGAGCAAGACAGUAAGGUAGUGAGUAAGACAGUAAGGUAGUGAGGUAGUGAGCAAGACAGUAAGGUAGUGAGCAAGACAGUAAGGUAGUGAGGUAGUGAGCAAGACAGUAAGGUAGUGAGCAAGACAGUAAGGUAGUGAGGUAGUGAGCAAGACAGUAAGGUAGUGAGCAAGACAGUAAGGUAGUGAGCAAGACAGUAAGGUAGUGAGGUAGUGAGCAAGACAGUAAGGUAGUGAGUAAGGCAGUAAGGUAGUGAGCAAGACAGUAAGGUAGUGAGUGAGACAACAUAGACUCUAACCUCAAAUGUUGUUACUAACCCAAUCUAGGUGCGGAUUGUGCUUAACCAGCCAGAACAAUCGGGGCUUGGGGGGAAUGUAGCAGAUGAAACACUGUGGUCUCCUGGUGGUUUCCAGAAAUAAGUAGACUCACCGUUGGAGAGAUAUGUGUGGUGUGGGCAAGCUUCACUCCAGUUAAAGCAUUAGCCUCCAGGGUGUUCUGCAGCAUGGUUGGGGAAGGAUGCAGUUAGGAGUCAACGAGAAUGGACACAAUGUAUGAUGGUGAUUGUCUGUGAGGAGAGUAGCAGGAAAAAGGGUGCGAAUCAUAGGGGAA